UACGUAGGGCGCAAGCGUUAUCCGGAAUUAUUGGGCGUAAAGAGCUCGUAGGCGGCUUGUCACGUCGAUUGUGAAAGCCCGAGGCUUAACCUCGGGUCUGCAGUCGAUACGGGCUAGCUAGAGUGUGGUAGGGGAGAUCGGAAUUCCUGGUGUAGCGGUGAAAUGCGCAGAUAUCAGGAGGAACACCGGUGGCGAAGGCGGAUCUCUGGGCCUUGCCUGACGCUGAGGCGCGAAAGCUAGGGGAGCGAACAGG
rnacentral:rRNA from 1 species